rnacentral:rRNA from 1 species
AUUGAACGCUGGCGGCAGGCCUAACACAUGCAAGUCGAACGAGUGGCGGACGGGUGAGUCAUGUCUGGGAAACUGCCCGAGGGAGGGGGAUAACUACUGGAAACGGUAGAUAAUACCACAUACCAUCGGAUGUGCCCAGAUUGGAUUAGCUAGUAGGUGGGGUAACGGCUAACCUAGGCGACGAUCACUAGCUGGGCUGAGAGGAUGACCAGCCACACUGGAACUGAGACACGGUCCAGACUCCUACGGGAGGCAGCAGGGGGGAAUAUUGCACAAUGGGCGCAAGCCUGAUGCAGCCAUGCCGCGUGUAUGAAGAAGGCCUGCGGGUUGUAAAGUACUUUCAGCGAGGAGGCGUUACUCGCAGAAGAAGCACCGGCUAACUCCGUGCCAGCAGCCGCGGUAAUAC